rnacentral:rRNA from 1 species
AACGAACGCUGGCGGCAUGCCUAACACAUGCAAGUCGAACGAGACCUUCGGGUCUAGUGGCGCACGUGUGCGUAACGCGUGGGAACCUGCCCUUAGGUUCGGAAUAACUCCCCGAAAGGGGUGCUAAUACCGGAUAAUGUCUUCGGACCAAAGAUUUAUCGCCUUUGGAUGGGCCCGCGUUGGCUUAGCUAGUUGGUAGGGUAAAAGCCUACCAAGGCGACGAUCCAUAGCUGGUAUGAGAGGAUGAUCAGCCACACUGGGACUGAGACACGGCCCAGACUCCUACGGGAGGCAGCAGUGGGGGAUAUUGGACAAUGGGCGAAAGCCUGAUCCAGCAAUGCCGCGUGAGUGAUGAAGGCCUUAGGGUUGUAAAGCUCUUUUACCCGGGAUGAUAAUGACAGUACCGGGAGAAUAAGCUCCGGCUAACUCCGUG